UACGUAGGUGGCAAGCGUUGUCCGGAAUUAUUGGGCGUAAAGCGCGCGCAGGCGGUCCUUUAAGUCUGAUGUGAAAGCCCACGGCUCAACCGUGGAGGGUCAUUGGAAACUGGGGGACUUGAGUACAGAAGAGGAAAGCGGAAUUCCACGUGUAGCGGUGAAAUGCGUAGAGAUGUGGAGGAACACCAGUGGCGAAGGCGGCUUUCUGGUCUGUAACUGACGCUGAGGCGCGAAAGCGUGGGGAGAAAACAGG
rnacentral:rRNA from 1 species